UGUUGUAAAUCCUGCCCACUUGUUUGCAUUGUGACACAUGCUUCAGUGCUCUGAGAGUGUUUAUAGUGCUGUGAGUUUAACACUUCAUGACUGAGAGCAGAACAGACACAAUCUUCAUCAUCACACAAGACAAAAGAACAACAAUGAACACAAUCACCUUCUUCAUCUGGACUCUCACUCUCUGCAUUCAGGAGAGCUGGGGACAAGUGACAGUGACUCAAGAUCCUGCAAUAAAAUCCAUCAAACAAGGAGAAACUGUUACAAUCAGCUGUAAAACCAGUCAGCUGAUUUCUGGCUGUAGUAACUGUGUGUCUUGGUAUCAGCAGAAACCUGGAGAAGCUCCUAAACUCCUGAUUUAUGAUAUAAGAAGCCUUCAGUCAGGAACUCCAUCUAGAUUCAGUGGCAGUGGAUCUAAAUAUGGCAGUGAUUUCACUCUGACCAUCAGUGGAGUCCAGACUGAAGAUACAGGAGAUUAUUACUGUCAGAGUGCACACUAUAUCAACAGUCAAUAUGUGUACACAUUCGGUGGAGGAACUAAACUGGUGCUCGCUGGUCCCACAGUGAAGCCCUCAGUGUCUCUGCUGCCGCCCUCUUCUCUACAGAUCUCUGGAGACUCAGCCGCACUGCUCUGCCUGCUCAGCUCUUACUCUCCACAGGGGGCGCUGGUGAGCUGGACACUGGACGGGUCAGAGGUCACCGAGGGGUCGUGACCAGCGCAGGAGAGCCAGCGGGACGGCCGCUACAGCCGCAGUAGCGUCCUGACCCUCAGCAAAGCACGCUGGGAAGAGGGAGAGGUGUACGUCUGCAGAGUAACACAUGAUGGAGCUCCUCAUGAGGUCUCGUUCCACAAGAGCUCUGAGUGCUGAUGUUUCUCUCCUGAAGAUGAGCCGUAUCUGAGUGUCCUGUGUCAGGCAGGAUUCACAUGAGUCUAGUGCUGCAGCUGUAGUGAUUUACAACUCAAUACUGAAAGAGAGCUGGCGUGUCAAAGCACUGUGUGAUCUUUCAAUCUGCUGUAACAUUCAAUAAAGCUUCUCAACAAGUUCA